CCUACGGGGCGCACCAGUAGGGAAUCUUCGGCAAUGGACGAAAGUCUGACCGAGCAACGCCGCGUGAGUGAAGAAGGUUUUCGGAUCGUAAAACUCUGUUGUUAGAGGAGAACAAGUAGGAGAGUAACUGCUCUUACCUUGACGGUAUCUAACCAGAAAGCCACGGCUAACUACGUGCCAGCAGCCGCGGUAAUACGUAGGUGGCAAGCGUUGUCCGGAUUUACUGGGCGUAAAGCGAGCGCAGGCGGUCUUUUAAGUCUGAUGUGAAAGCCCUCGGCUCAACCGAGGAAGGUCAUUGGAAACUGGGGGACUUGAGUGCAGAAGAGGAGAGCGGAAUUCCACGUGUAGCGGUGAAAUGCGUAGAUAUAUGGAGGAACACCAGUGGCGAAGGCGACUCUCUGGUCUGUAACUGACGCUGAGGCUCGAAAGCGUGGGGAGCAAACAGGAUUAGAUACCCUAGUAGUC
rnacentral:rRNA from 1 species